CCCCAUAUAGGAUUUCUGUCCUUAAUGUGUCGUACUAUGAGAAUUAACGGUAAAACUAGUGUUCAAACAGUUAAAAAAAAGUCUGUUUGAAACUUUAAAACCUAGAAAGAAAUAACUAUCCGAGCUUAGACUUCCAAGAAGUGUAUUCUGAAGCAAUAGUCUACAUGCAGGCAGCUUAUUUUGGGGAAGAAUUUCAGGAGGAGAGUGGAGAGUCCAGAGGUGUAGUCGACGUUUCACGCUCCUCCCCCAGCAUUAGCGGAAAGCUUCCUGCCUGUCCUGCUGAAAGCUGGUUUUGUUAACAGAAUAAUUCUGGUGUCAAAAACAUGGACUGGGGCCGGCGCUGUGGCAUAGCAGGAUAAAGCCACUACCUGCAAUACCGGCAUCCCAUAUGGGUGCCGGUUCAAGACCCGGCUGCUCCAUUUCCCAUCCAGCUCUCUGGUAUUACCUGGGGAAAGCAGUGAAAGAUGGCCCAAGUCCUUGGGCCCCUGAACUCACAUGGGAAGAACCAGAGGAAGCUCCUGGCUCCUGGCUUCGGAUCAGCGGAGCUCCAGCUGUUGCAGUCAAUUAGGGAGUGAACCAGCAGAUGGAAAACCUCUCUCUCUCUCUCUGCUUCUCCUUCUCUCUCUGUGUAACUCUGGCUUUCAAAUAAAUAAAUAAAUAAAUCUUUUAAAAAAAUGUACUGCAAGGUAUCCCAACCACUAUUAUCUGGAAGAGAUUGUUGAACAUUGUUUUAAUUCUUCUUUUGACGUUUAAUAAAGUCCUUCAUUGAAA